AAGUUAAACAGCAAAUGGUGUAUUUGUAUGAGUGCAAUACCAUCUCCACCCAGCUGGCACGUGGCUCACAGAAAAUCAAGCACACCCGUCUCUCCCACUCAGGCCUUCAGGAGCCUAUAAAGCAACUCAGCACACCUGUGUUUGAGAUAAUCUCUACAAACAAAGAUCUCAUCUUCAAGCUCCUGCAGAACACCACUGGUUUUCAACCUGCUCAGGUGUCAUGAAAGAACAGUGAUUUAAAGAAAAGAAAAGAAAAGAGAAAUAAAAUAAAAAGAUGACACUGAGAAGAGUUGGUCCGGGAUUUCUUUGAUGGGAGCAAGCCUUGUCAAGUUUGGGCAGAAGCUAAGGUGUUUUGUAGAGACUAAAAACUUGACACUCAUA